UACAGAGGGUGCAAGCGUUGUUCGGAAUUAUUGGGCGUAAAGGGCGCGUAGGCGGUGCUGUAAGUCUGUAGUGAAAUCUCUGGGCUCAACUCAGAGUCUGCUAUAGAAACUGCAGUGCUGGAGUGUGGGAGAGGUGAGUGGAAUUCCCGGUGUAGCGGUGAAAUUGCGUAGAUAUCGGGAGGAACACCUGUGGCGAAAGCGGCUCACUGGACCACACUGACGCUGAGGCGCGAAAGCUAGGGGAGCAAACAGG
rnacentral:rRNA from 1 species